rnacentral:rRNA from 1 species
GCUGGCGGCACGCCUAACACAUGCAAGUCGAACGAAGUAGCAAUACUUAGUGGCAGACGGGUGAGUAACAUGUGGGUAUCUGCCCUUUGGCCUGGAAUAACACGAGGAAACUUGUGCUAAUACCGGAUAAGUCUUUACGGAGAAAGCUUUAUGCACCAUUGGAUGAGCCCGCACUUGAUUAGUUUGUUGGUGGGGUAAUGGCCUACCAAGACUGUGAUCAAUAGCUGAUUUGAGAGGAUGAUCAGCCACAUUGGGACUGAGACACGGCCCAAACUCCUACGGGAGGCAGCAGUGGGGAAUCUUGCACAAUGGAGGAAACUCUGAUGCAGCGAUGCCGCGUGAGUGAAGAAGGCCCUUGGGUUGUAAAGCUCUUUCGUCGGGGAAGAAAAUGACUGUACCCGAAUAAGAAGGUCCGGCUAACUUCGUGCCAGCAGCCGCGGUAAUACGAAGGGACCUAGCGUAGUUCGGAAUUACUGGGCUUAAAGAGUUCGUAGGUGGUUGAAAAAGUUAGUGGUGAAAUCCCAGAGCUUAACUCUGGAACUGCCAUUAAAACUUUUCAGCUAGAGUAUGAUAGAGGAAAGCAGAAUUUCUAGUGUAGAGGUGAAAUUCGUAGAUAUUAGAAAGAAUACCAAUUGCGAAGGCAGCUUUCUGGAUCAUUACUGACACUGAG